rnacentral:misc_RNA from 1 species
GGAAAGAGUCAUUGAUCGGCAGCGGCAGGGAUUUGUGGCGACGGUGAACCCGAGAUUCGCAGGUUAAACAAUGCCGUUUUGUAUGCUAAAAAUGAAGGCUUAGCUGAUUUCGUUGAAAAGGAACUCUUAUUGUGCUUAGUUCCGAAAGAAGCAAAAGCAUUCACAACCAACCACCGACCACUGGUAUCCUCUAGAUUUAGCGUAAUUUAAUACAAUCUUAAGGCCUAGGGCACAAUUGGACAAGUUAGAAAGUCAAAAAGCACAAGUCAAGUACUAGGAAGAUUACACAAGCCGUGCAUUAGGAGGACCAGACCCAUAUAACUAGCUGCUAAGAAAGUGCCAUGAGAAGACAACCACACGAUCCGUGUAAGAGACCCG